GCCAGACUCCUACGGGAGGCAGCAGUGAGGAAUAUUGGUCAAUGGGCGGGAGCCUGAACCAGCCAAGUCGCGUGAGGGACGACGGUCCUAUGGAUUGUAAACCUCUUUUGUCGGGGAACAAAGGCGCCCACGGGUGGGCGGAUGAGUGUACCCGAAGAAAAAGCAUCGGCUAACUCCGUGCCAGCAGCCGCGGUAAUACGGAGGAUGCGAGCGUUAUCCGGAUUUAUUGGGUUUAAAGGGUGCGUAGGUGGUUAAUUAAGUCAGCGGUGAAAGUUUGUGGCUCAACCAUAAAAUUGCCGUUGAAACUGGUUGACUUGAGUAUAUUUGAGGUAGGCGGAAUGCGUGGUGUAGCGGUGAAAUGCAUAGAUAUCACGCAGAACUCCGAUUGCGAAGGCAGCUUACUAAACUAUAACUGACACUGAAGCACGAAAGCGUGGGGAUCAAACAGGAUUAGAUACCCCCGUAA
rnacentral:rRNA from 1 species